rnacentral:rRNA from 1 species
AUUGAACGCUGGCGGAAUGCUUUACACAUGCAAGUCGAACGGCAGCACGGGGCAACCUGGUGGCGAGUGGCGAACGGGUGAGUAAUAUAUCGGAACGUGCCCAAUCGUGGGGAUAACGUAGCGAAAGUUACGCUAAUACCGCAUACGAUCUACGGAUGAAAGCGGGGAUCGCAAGACCUCGCGCGAAUGGAGCGGCCGAUAUCAGAUUAGGUAGUUGGUGGGGUAAAGGCUCACCAAGCCAACGAUCUGUAGCUGGUCUGAGAGGACGACCAGCCACACUGGAACUGAGACACGGUCCAGACUCCUACGGAGGCAGCAGUGGGGAAUUUGGACAAUGGGCGCAAGCCUGAUCCAGCCAUUCCGCGUGCAGGAUGAAGGCCUUCGGGUUGUAAACGUAG